rnacentral:tRNA from 1 species
GCCCCGAUAGCUCAGCUGGAUAGAGCAGAGGACUUCUAAGCCUAAGGUCACUGGUUCGAACCCAGUUCGGGGUACCA